rnacentral:rRNA from 1 species
GACGAACGCUGGCGGCGUGCUUAACACAUGCAAGUCGAACGGAAAGGCCCUGCUUUUGUGGGGUGCUCGAGUGGCGAACGGGUGCGUAACACGUGAGUAACCUGCCCUUGACUUUGGGAUAACUUCAGGAAACUGGGGCUAAUACCGGAUAGGAGCUCCUGCUGCAUGGUGGGGGUUGGAAAGUUUCGGCGGUUGGGGAUGGACUCGCGGCUUAUCAGCUUGGUGGUGGGGUAGUGGCUUACCAAGGCUUUGACGGGUAGCCGGCCUGAGAGGGUGACCGGCCACAAUGGGACGGGGAUACGGCCCAGACGCCUACGGGAGGCAGCAAUGGGAAAUAUUGCACGAGGGGCGGAAGCCUGAUGCAGCAACGCCGGGUGCGGGAUAACGGCCUUCGGAUUGUAAACCGCUUUCGCCUGUGACGAGGCGUGAGUGACGGUAAUGGGUAAAGAAGCACCGGCUAACUACGUA